UACGUAGGGUGCAAGCGUUGUCCGGAAUUAUUGGGCGUAAAGGGCUCGUAGGCGGUUUGUCGCGUCGGGAGUGAAAACCCAGGGCUUAACUCUGGGCUUGCUUUCGAUACGGGCAGACUAGAGGUAUGCAGGGGAGAACGAAUUCCUGGUGUAGCGGUGAAAUGCGCAGAUAUCAGGAGGAACACCGGUGGCGAAGGCGGUUCUCUGGGCAUUACCUGACGCUGAGGAGCGAAAGCGUGGGGAGAGAACAAGG
rnacentral:rRNA from 1 species